rnacentral:rRNA from 1 species
CGGCAGCACAGAAGAGCUUGCUCUUUGGGUGGCGAGUGGCGGACGGGUGAGUAAUGUCUGGGAAACUGCCCGAUGGAGGGGGAUAACUACUGGAAACGGUAGCUAAUACCGCAUAACGUCGCAAGACCAAAGUGGGGGACCUUCGGGCCUCACACCAUCGGAUGUGCCCAGAUGGGAUUAGCUAGUAGGUGGGGUAAUGGCUCACCUAGGCGACGAUCCCUAGCUGGUCUGAGAGGAUGACCAGCCACACUGGAACUGAGACACGGUCCAGACUCCUACGGGAGGCAGCAGUGGGGAAUAUUGCACAAUGGGCGCAAGCCUGAUGCAGCCAUGCCGCGUGUAUGAAGAAGGCCUUCGGGUUGUAAAGUACUUUCAGCGGGGAGGAAGGCGGUGAGGUUAAUAACCUCGCCGAUUGACGUUACCCGCAGAAGAAGCACCGGCUAACUCCGUGCCAGCAGCCGCGGUAAUACGGAGGGUGCAAGCGUUAAUCGGAAUUACUGGGCGUAAAGCGCACGCAGGCGGUCUGUUAAGUCAGAUGUG